GCCGCUUUAGCACAGUGGUAGUGCGUGUCACUCGUACCCGCGAGGUGAUGACAAGGUCGGUUGUUCGAUCCAGCCAAGCGGCA
rfam:Punctularia strigosozonata HHB-11173 SS5 unplaced genomic scaffold PTNSTscaffold_10, whole genome shotgun sequence.